UUGCCAUCAUUUAGUUGGGCACUCUAGUGAGACUGCCGGUGACAAACCGGAGGAAGGUGGGGAUGACGUCAAGUCCUCAUGGCCCUUAUGGUAGGGCUUCACACGUCAUACAAUGGUCGGUACAGAGGGUUGCCAAGCCGCGAGGUGGAGCCAAUCCCUUAAAGCCGAUCGUAGUCCGGAUCGUAGUCUGCAACUCGACUACGUGAAGUCGGAAUCGCUAGUAAUCGCAGAUCAGCAUGCUGCGGUGAAUACGUUCCCGGGUCUU
rnacentral:rRNA from 1 species